AUUGAACGCUGGCGGCAUGCCUUACACAUGCAAGUCGAACGGCAGCACGGGCUUCGGUCUGGUGGCGAGUGGCAAACGGGUGAGUAAUGUAUCGGAACGUACCCUUCAGUGGGGGAUAACUAUCCGAAAGGAUAGCUAAUACCGCAUAUUCUCUGAGGAGGAAAGCGGGGGAUCGCAAGACCUCGCGCUGAUGGAGCGGCCGAUAUCAGAUUAGCUAGUUGGUGGGGUAAAGGCCUACCAAGGCGACGAUCUGUAGCGGGUCUGAGAGGAUGAUCCGCCACACUGGGACUGAGACACGGCCCAGACUCCUACGGGAGGCAGCAGUGGGGAAUUUUGGACAAUGGGGGCAACCCUGAUCCAGCCAUGCCGCGUGAGUGAAGAAGGCCUUCGGGUUGUAAAGCUCUUUCGGCCGGGAAGAAAUCGCGUGAGUUAAUACCUUGCGUGGAUGACGGUACCGGAAUAAGAAGCACCGGCUAACUACGUGCCAGCCGCCGCAGUAAUAC
rnacentral:rRNA from 1 species